rnacentral:lncRNA from 13 species
ACAGAGCUCAGGUGGUGGAUAUCUCGACAUUGUGUGAGAGGGGAAUGCUGCCAUGACAACGCUGAUACAGUGAGUCAUUGUGACCGUGUCCUCAGAUCCUCCUCACUAGCCCUCCCCUGGGACAUGAUGGACACCAGAAGGGCACCUGGAGGGGUUGGCAUGGCUGGGACUCUGGUGCUUCUCUGGGCAGGACUAGGUCUGGUCAAGACUUGGGGAGAAGGAGAAUCCCAGGAUGGGUCCACACAUGGGCUGUCCCCUCUCCAAACAGGACCAUAGGAGUAUGGGAGAGUCAGGGGAGACCUAACACCAGCCGUGGCCAAAGAAUCUGUUGGACCUCUUGGACAUGCUUUCCCCCGACCACUACAACGUCUCUACAGCAGGGGCUGAUUGGCCUACGAGACCAGACAGUACUCCACCUUGUACCUCCCCACACACACAGCGUUUGCUCUUCAGUUUUCAGAUGAGGCUGGGAGGCCUGGGUGGAGGAAAGGAGUCUGCUUGCAGUGCUGUCAGAGGAAGCGGAGGAGUUGCUACAGCUGAGACUGGGAUCUGGACUACUCACCUUCAUCAGUACCUGGAGCCGAGGCUACUCAAUACCAACAGAUACACGUGCACAUAUGUACACACACACAGUCAUGUCCUCAUCAUGUCCUGAAAUAGAUGUCAUUAGAAUGGUUGACGUGACAAAU